ACGCUCGACACCUACGGGGGGCAGCAGUGGGGGAAUUAUUGCACAAUGGGGGAAACCCUGAUGCAGCAACGCCGCGUGAAGGAAGUCGGUUUCGNUAUAACUNUNUUNUUAGAGAANAUGCGACGGUAGAACGUAAGGANACGACGCCGACGGACUAACUUACGUCGACCAGCCACGGACGUACGUAUGCGGCGGCGGGCGUACGGGACGAAGC
rnacentral:rRNA from 1 species